rnacentral:rRNA from 1 species
UGAAUUAUAAUAGUAACGAUUUGACUCCGCGAAAUUGAUUGAGCUAAUUAAUAUUUAUUUUUAGAUGCGGAGAUGUUGCAUAAUUUACUAAAUUUUAAUUAGGGGUGAUAGGCUUUACAAAAUCAAAGAUAACUUGAUAGCUAAGAGAUGUAUUAGUACUAAGACACUCUUGGAGUGAUAAGGUUACAAGAGGAUGGCGAAUUAGAAUUUUUAAUGCGUAUCCUAUUUAACCAUAAAUUCUUUAUUAUUAUAAUAUUCAUUUUUGAAAAUUGCCACAAUUAUCAGCUACUGGUGAAAUCAUCUUAACCACUUACAAUGUUUAUAUAAGUAACAAACAAAUAAUAGUAAUGAACUCGGCAAUAAGCUUUUCAACUGUUUAUCAAAAACAUAGCUAUAUGAGUUGAUAUAUAGUACUUUCUGCUCAAUGACAAAUUAAAUGGCCGCAGUACCCUGACUGUGCUAAGGUAGCGCAAUCAAUUGACUUUUAAUUGAAGUCCUGUAUGAAAGAAACUAUGGAGAGCUGCUUUCUCACUAAUAAUUGAUGAAUUUACUUAGGAAGUGAAAAUUCUUCUAGAUAACCAAUAGACGAGAAGACCCUAGAAAUUUUGAGAGAUUACUUUUUGUUGGGGCAACAGAGUAGCAAUUUAAUCUACUGCUGGACACGAAAUUACUAUUUUGACAGAUUAAAUUACUCUAGGGAUAACAGCAUAAUUUGCGAAAGUUUGUGACCUCGAUGUUGGAUUAAGGAGUUGACGUUUAGAAG